GGAUGUGAGGGUGAUCUGGCUGCAACAUUUGUCACCCCGUUGAUUGCCAGGAUUGAUUCAGCUGAUCUGGCUGGCUAGGCGGGUGUCCCCUUCCUCCCUCACCGCUCCAUGUGUGUCCUUCCCGAAGCUGUACACUCCCCUGCUAGAACCUCCAAACAAGCUCUCAAGGUCCAUUUUUAGGACAACAUAGAGUAGUCAAGCUUCCAAGACUCCAGACACAUCCAAAUGAAACGCUGCAUGUGGCAGUCUUCCUUU
rnacentral:snRNA from 1 species